rnacentral:tRNA from 1 species
GGAGUUAUAGUCAACCAUGACAUUUGAUUUGCACUCAAAAAGUGCUCUAACUCUUAGAGCUAACUUCA